AUUGAACGCUGGCGGCAGGCCUAACACAUGCAAGUCGAGCGGUUGAAGGGAGCUUGCUCCUUGAUUCAGCGGCGGAGGGGGGAGUAAUGGCUAGGAAUCGGCCUGUGAGUGGGGGAUAACGUCCGGAAAUGGGCACUAAUACCGCAUACGACUUGAGUGAGAAAGUGGGGGAUCGUCGGACUUCACGCUAUUAGAUUAGCCUAGGUCGGAUUAGCUAGUGGGUGGGGUAAAGGCCUACCAAGGCGACGAUCCGUAACUGGUCUGAGAGGAUGAUCAGUCACACUGGAACUGAGACACGGUCCAGACUCCUGCGGGAGGCAGCAGUGGGGAAUAUUGGACAAUGGGCGAAAGCCUGAUCCAGCCAUGCCGGGUGUGUGAAGAAGGUCUUCGGAUUGUAAAGCACUUUAAGUUGGGAGGAAGGGCAGUAAGUUAAUACCUUGCUGUUUUGACGUUACCAACAGAAUAAGCACCGGCUAACUUCGUG
rnacentral:rRNA from 1 species